UAGCCCAGCUUUCUCAGUCUGGUAGAAGAUCCAGUGCUUCACAAGGCUCAAGCUUUAGUUUUAGACAAAAAGCCAGCUGGCAUCAGUAGGAGACUAUCCUGUCAUCCAUAGGAGAAGAUAGAAAUUAUGCUGGGACCACUGAAAUGAGGACAUUCUUGAGAAUUCCUAAUAAGGAAUAUUGAGUAACGAUGGGCAGGGAGCUGAACUCUAGCUGCAUCAAUCCAUCAAGGGGCUGAGGACAAGAGAAUACAAAAAGAGCCAUUGCACAGUGCCAAAGAAGCACAAAGCUAAAUUGCAUAGUGCCAAUUGAGCACAAGGUCAAAGAUACCAACCAAUCCUGAUGGGGUGGAUGAAAAUUUUGAGCCAUGACAAGAGGACAUGAACAUGUUUGGAGUUCGAGGUUGCGGCUGUUCAACAUGUGUUAAAGAGAAGAGAAAAAUGAGGUCGAAAGCUUUGGCUCUGUCCAUAGCCACAUGGCUAUAUCAAAGGGAAGAUUUCAAUCUAUUUCUUUGCGGACUUGAUGCCCAGAACUCUUCUGCCAUACUAUGUUCUUCUCCUGUUUAGGUGGUAGGUUUAUCUUCAAACUAGGCAAUUUCCACACACGACAAAAGGAGACUCAAAUGAAAUUACUGAAGUGAAAUCACAGAUCUUCUAUCUUCUAUGGUUGAGAUAAAAGAUAAAUGAAGAAGUGAAGAGUCAGAGUACGUGAUGUCCAAUUUGAAUAUUUUUGAUUACUUUAAUGGCCGAAACAUGGAGUGAUCAAUUAAUGGUCAAUUGGGUUACAUCUUUACUGUAAGGAAUUGCCUUAAUAAACAACUCAUGGCCAU
rnacentral:lncRNA from 1 species